ensembl:lncRNA
AUGUAUACGGUUAAGAAUAAAGCAAAAUUUGGACAAAAGAGCUGGAAGGAAACAGUGAAAACUGGAAAGUUUAGAAACAUCAGAGGUCUCAUCUUGCUUCCAGUGCAGCCACUGAAAAUCACACUGUCUCUCUCCAAAAUUGGAUCAAGACUGAGGACUAACAGAGCAUUUCUUGUGAGCAGAGUCUUCACAGCUUCUGAGCAGGAGUCCUAUCACACCAGAAAGUCUGACGGUAAUGGCUGAGCACCCUUACGCAGCAUGACAACACUUCCUGUGCCACUUCCUGUGUCUCUCAACCAAGCCAAAGGAUUUCCAGGCCUAUAAAUAUGCGGAAAUAUGCGGAAGUUGUGAUACAACACAAACGUUAUGAUAACUAGCACUGUAAAUAGUGAAGCUAGGAUUAUCUGAGAAAGAUGGUAUACAGCAGCAUAUAUAGAGAACCGCUACCAACUACCAUCUUUAUUUACUAAUGUGGUGUUACUGCAUUCUUUCCCCGUGUGUUCUGUUUCUUUUUUAAAACUUAUUUUUUGUGCCUUCUAAUCUCAAUGUAAAGGCAUCCUAAGUAUAAAUAUGUAAGGCAAUAUAUAUAUAUACAUAUAUACAUAUAUCAUUCUGUGUAGAAAAAAAAGGAUUAUUUUAACUGUUAAAGAAAUCUGUCUAGUAUAUUCCAAACAAUAUAUGUAUACAUAUAUUCUUGUCUUUACAGUGAAAAAUCAGUAUUACUUUACUAGCUAAAUGUUUGGAUUUUUAACAGCAUUUGAGGCCUUACCUAGAGUAGUUUUUAAAUAACAAUACUCAGAAAGCAACAUAGUAGUAUGUAGAAAUAGAUGAAGUGGUGCUUUUUCCCUUUCACCUGUACUUUCAUCUGUACAUAUUUCUAAUUUUAAAGUGUAAUCUGCUUAAAAUGCUGAUUAUGUUUUACUUAGGUUUGAAAAAUUCCAUCCUGAUAAGUAUUUUGUAACAUAUCUGCUGCAUUUAAUUAGUUGAAUUCUCUUGACUUGAAUGCUGAAUAAUACCACAGAUUUCAAAAUCAACUGGAUGAGGAAUCACUACUUAUUUGACUUUGUUCAGCUAUGCACCAAACCAUAAUCUGAUGAUUCUAUUCUAAGACCUGCCUGCCCUGAAUAUUGCCUGUAAGAGCCAAUAUUCUGUUUUUGUAUUACUCCUUUACUCCAUUUCUAGGCUCUGCUCUUAGCCUUGGUCAGCUACUUCUUAGAGUUCUGUACUAGAGGACUUACUCCAGGGCAGACAAUAAGUAAACACGAAGCACUGCAGGUCUCUUAACCCUUAGGUUAAGCCCAUGUUCCUUUGACAUCAUUGUCCUAAUAAACUAAAGAUGUAUAGAAAAACACAUCUAAGGGAAACUAUUUUAAAUUUUGCCUAAUGUGAAGACUUUGGUGUUUAAAAUAGGAAUAAAGUUUAAACUCACAUUAUUCUCAGAUCUGCAACAGUCUACCAGUGAAUAUUUGUUCUGUUACUAUUCUCCCAUAUGAUCAUCCUGUUGGCAACACACCUCAUAUGAAGAUUGUUGAUAUCAGUUUGAGGCAAGAAGUUUUGUCAUAAGGCCUU